rnacentral:rRNA from 1 species
CCCUCUGGGGUGUAAACUGCUUUUCCAGGGAGAGAAACUUGCGUACGCGUUGCGCAAUUGACGGUACCCUGGGAAUAAGCAUCGGCUAACUCCGUGCCAGCAGCCGCGGUAAUACGGAGGAUGCGAGCGUUAUCCGGAUUCAUUGGGUUUAAAGGGUGCGUAGGCGGACUAUUAAGUCAGUGGUGAAAUCCUGCAGCUUAACUGCAGAACUGCCAUUGAUACUGAUAGCCUUGAGUUUGGUUAAGGUAGGCGGAAUGUGUACUGUAGCGGUGAAAUG